rnacentral:rRNA from 1 species
UACGAAGGGGGCUAGCGUUGUUCGGAAUUACUGGGCGUAAAGCGCACGUAGGCGGUCUGUUAUGUCGGAUGUGAAAGCCCUUGGCUCAACUGAGGAAGUGCAUCCGAAACUGGCAGGCUAGAGUACUAAAGAGGAUCGCGGAAUUCCCGGUGUAGAGGUGGAAUUCGUAGAUAUUAGGAAGAACACCAGUGGCGAAGGCGGCUUACUGGUCCGGUACUGACGCUGAGGUGCGAAAGCGUGGGGAGCAAACAGG